rnacentral:rRNA from 1 species
CCUACGGGCGGCAGCAGUGAGGAAUAUUGGUCAAUGGACGCAAGUCUGAACCAGCCAUGCCGCGUGCAGGAAGACGGAUCUAUGAGUUGUAAACUGCUUUUGUACGAGGGUAAAUCCCGAUACGUGUAUCGGGUUGAAAGUAACGUACGAAUAAGGAUAGGAGACCUCCGUGCCAGCAGCCGCGGUAAUACGGAGGAUUCAAGCGUUCUCCGGAUUUAUUGGGUUUAAAGGGUGCGUAGGCGGUUCGAUAAGUUAGAGGUGAAAUCCCGGGGCUCAACUCCGGCACUGCCUCUGAUACUGUCGGUCUAGAGUUUAGUUGCGGUAGGCGGAAUGUUUGGUGUAGCGGUGAAAUGCCUA